AUUGAACGCUGGCGGCAUGCCUAACACAUGCAAGUCGAACGAGUGGCGGACGGGUGAGUAAUGUCUGGGAAACUGCCCGAUGGAGGGGGAUAACUACUGGAAACGGUAGCUAAUACCGCCAACCAUCCUAUGUGCCCAGAUGGGAUGAGCUAGUCGGUGGGGUAACGGCUCACCUAGGCGACGAUCCCUAGCUGGUCUGAGAGGAUGACCAUCCACACUGGAACUGAGACACGGUCCAGACUCCUACGGGAGGCAGCAGUGGGGAAUAUUGCACAAUGGGCGAAAGCCUGAUGCAGCCAUGCCGCGUGUAUGAAGAAGGCCUGCGGGUUGUAAAGUACUUUCAGCGAGGAGGCGUUACUCGCAGAAGAAGCACCGGCUAACUACGUGCCAGCAGCCGCGGUAAUUC
rnacentral:rRNA from 1 species